GGCGGCGGGGAGGAGCGGGCCACUAGCCGCGCCCGGGCCGGCCCUAGGGAGCCAUGGAAGGCUACGGAGCAGCUAAGGAGGUCCGGGCCGAGACCUUUCCCUGCUUCUGUUCGCCGACCUGGCAGCUUCCCCAGCUCGGCUUCCUGUGUGCUGCAGCGGGUCGGUAGAACUCAGACUGGAAAGAAAGGGUGCUGGUUACCCUUCUUAUCCUUAUCAUGGCGAUGAGGUUCUGUGGAGAGGGCAGGAUGCCUUUUCGUCGGUAGGUACCAGCAUCUUAUUUGAGCACCAGUGGAGUUUGGUUGUCACUGGUGACUCCAUCGUCCGUCCCCCGUGAGCCCCGCCGACUUCAGUCUGUGAACAAUGCAUUGGGACAAUUACGAAGCACUCGGAGCUUCCCAAGACGAGCCAGCGUUGUGUUUCUGGAGCCUUUAGGCUUUGACUCCAAAAGAUGGACUCAAUAGAAGUGAAGUUCAAUUAAAUUUAAAUAGAGAAAAUAAUCCCGGGGGGGGGGGGGGGGGCGGAAUCAUUCUUGAAUUGUUCACAUUAGUUCUGUCACGUCGAUAACCCCACUGUAGUUCUCUCCUGGGUGUGUAAUGCUGCUCUUUUAACUUCAAAACAUUUAGCGAAAUUUAGAAUGGUGAUUUUAUCAGAGCUAAUGUGGCACCUGAAAAUAAUGGGCAUUUCCUCCUUGAGUUGCUUCAUUGACUGUGGUGUGCGACGGUGAAAGACUGGUUACUCAACCUGCUGACAGUAUUCUUUCCUGCUGUCAGCAGGAAACCAACCUUCAUUUGUUUCUAAUCAAUCUUUGUUUUUGCUCAUAGGUGAAAUUAAAGACUGCUAGAAAUAGAGAACUUGGAAGUUUUACCCUACGCCGGAAAAUGCUAUAGAUGAACCAAAUGUUUUCUUAUAAUAAAAGCAUUGUACAGCAUCUGAAUAGUUCACCGACCUCAUGAUGGGAGUCAGAGGUUAGGAAAAUAACAGUGUUUGAAACAUGUUUAUUUCUAUCGUAAUUUUAUUAGAUAUGAGAAAUAUUUAGAUAUAAGGGCUUCUUGCAUAAAUCAAGAAGCAAGUCUUCAGAAAAAUCAUAGAAAAGAAGAAAACUAGAGACAAACUUCAGGUAUUUCAUUAAAAUGCUUUCACAAUGACUUUUCUUGGCCCUAGUAUUUUAAGUCAGUCAUGUGAAAUAGAUUUAUUUUUAAGCAAAGGGCUUAAAAUAAAUCUGGCAUUUACCCUAAAAUAAAUUUCCUAAACCCUGCUUGUCCUUUAUUUUAUUACCAUUUUUAGGUAUUCAUAGGAAUUUUGUUGUUUCUCAAAUUGAACAUUCUGUUGCUUUCCAUUUGGUCACACAUGAAAAAGUGCAGGUAGCUAAAACAGUACAUAAGUGGUACUUAUAAAGGUAAGCAGAUGGCAAAGCUACUAAAAAUGUAUGUGAAGCCUACAUUAACCUAUGAGGCUAUUGUGAUGUUUGUAACACACUGCCCCUUGUUUUUUACUAUUAGAUGGACUCUGUAUCAAGUUUGGGUUUUUUUGUUUGUUUUUGUGUUUUGAGCUAGAGUCUUCUUGUUACUAGGCUGGUCUUCACUUGCUGGGCUCAAGCCAUCCUCUCUUCUCAGCCUCCCCAGUAACUAUACUAUGGACACACACCACCACACUUGGCUAAAUUUAGUUUUAAAUAAAAAGUCUCCCCCAUAAUAGGAUGGUAUCAUCUGACAUUAAAUUCCUUUCCAUUUAAAAAAAUCUAUUGUUUAAUUGUGACUAAUCUCCUUAAAAGAAUUGUAGAUAUUUGAGAUCACCCUUAAAGUAUGUUAAAACUCCUAAAGUACAAUUGCAAAAUACUGAUGCCAUGUACAAAUAUUCUUCAUUGCUUUCAGUGUACGAACAUUUUUAGAAUAUAG
rnacentral:lncRNA from 1 species